AUUGAACGCUGGCGGCAUGCUUUACACAUGCAAGUCGAACGGCAACAGGCCGCAAGGUGCUGACGAGUGGCGAACGGGUGAGUAAUGCAUCGGAACGUGCCCAGUCGUGGGGGAUAACGCAGCGAAAGCUGCGCUAAUACCGCAUACGAUCUAUGGAUGAAAGCGGGGGACCGUAAGGCCUCGCGCGAUUGGAGCGGCCGAUGUCAGAUUAGGUAGUUGGUGGGGUAAAGGCUCACCAAGCCAACAAUCUGUAGGUGGUCUGGGAGGACGACCAGCCACACUGGGACUGAGACACGGCCCAGACUCCGACGGGAGGAAGCAGUGGGGAAUUUUGGACAAUGGGCGCAAGCCUGAUUCAGCAAUGCCGCGUGCAGGAAGAAGGCCUUCGGGUUGUAAACUGCUUUUGUACGGAACGAAACGGUCCUGGUUAAUACCCGGGGCUAAUGACGGUACCGUAAGAAUAAGCACCGGCUAACUACGUGCCAGCCGCCGCUGUAACAC
rnacentral:rRNA from 1 species